ACGCCUCAGAGAUGGCGCAACAACGGCACAGAGAUGUAUAACUAUGCCAAGAGCACUUCUGGUGAUGUGCACUGUUAUGCUUUAAUGCGAUGCAUCACGCUUCCGUACAACAAGAGUUGGGCAGCCAUGUAGGCUUGAGUCACAAGCAUGUCACAGUCGCGAACCUUUCAGUAGUAUUACAUAACUACCCAAUUUCAUU
rnacentral:lncRNA from 1 species